UGCAUGCCGCACGUAUUGGAAAACAUCCAACAAAUUUCUCGCUAGGCUCAUAUUUUUGCAAAUAUUUGUCACAACACCAGCGAACUUUGCACGAACGAACCUGUGUAAAAACAUACGACACCAUCUGAUAAGAUAAUGUUGGAUCUACAGUACAAGCCUCUACAUGGCGUGAUAGAUUACGAGUGCUGGCCUAGCUCAAAAUAUGUACCCAUUGACAUACCGGACUACAAAAUUAACAAACCUUUGGAUUAUUAUGGGAGUUGGCCAGAGUAUUGGUACAUUUAUACGCCGCUCCGAGAUUUCAGAACUUAUUUGAACAACUUGCUUCGAAGAGAUUUGAGAUUGAGACAACAUCAGUACGUCCAUACUUACUGGUAAGCAAUUGAGUUAUUCUGGAACAAGUUUAGACGUAAAGCAAUGAUAUGUGUGUCUUAGAAAUUGUAUCCUAAUUGAAAUAUAUUAGUUUAAAUUCCAAAUUACUUUGUUUCUUUGCAGUAACUAAUUUGUUUAUUGUGCGAUUUAAUACCCAUCAUGACAAUAUUUAAUUGCUUAGUUUUAGAAAUGUAAAUGGUAAAAUAUGAAAGAUUUCUUUUCAAAUCAAGGUCGUCAUGAAGGUCGUGGUCACAGCCCCCAGCUUUCAUUUUCGUGAAACUGCUAAAAGCCCUAAACCAAAACGUAUCUGGCUGACGAUUAAGCCUGUGAUUCUUUUAUUUCCAUGACGGUUACUGUGCUGCCAUUGUUAUUAUUUAUUUAUUUAUUUAUUGUUUACGGGAAACAUUACUUUCUCCUAAACAAGGGUCUGCACGAUACCAGAACAAUAUAUUGUGCUGUUAUUAACACCAAAUCAAUUUUAAGCAAUGCAUUGGCUUAGUCUCAUGGUAAACAUCAAAAAAUUAUUCAAUUUAAUAAAACCUGUGCUAGAACUGUCAAACUGACUGCUUUUGCAAAUCGAUGAACCACAGAGAUAUUUUUGUUCGGUCUACACCGAGUAUAGCUAUAAUUGCUUUUGGACGAUGAUAGAAUAUGCAAGAGCAUUCGACUUCCGGUCAUAGUUUAAAAUAAUUUGAUUAAUAUUCGCGAAGUUAAAUAACCGAAUGUUUAAACUGAGUGGGAAACGAAUGCGUUUCGAUUCGUGUGAUAAUUUCCCUUCAAUUGCAGAAAAGUUUAAAUCCAUUUAAAGUUGUAUGAAAAACUCUCGCAUCAUUACUUUUUGUUUUAAUUAACGUUUCUAAAUAGUGUAUAGGUAUUAAUAAUAGCAACAUAACAAUGUUGUUAUACGCAUGAAGAAAACUACGAGCUUAUGGUUAAUUUUAUAUUGUUAAAAGCUGAAAUAUACAGCGCGUCUCACACUGUCAAUGGAACUUUACACGUUUGAAAAUACUCAGUGUCGCUGUGGUGCCAUUUCU